rnacentral:tRNA from 1 species
GCCCUUGUGGCGGAAUUGGCAGACGCGCACGGUUCAGAACCGUGUCCCAAUAAUCUGGGGUAGAGGUUCAAGUCCUCUCAAGGGCA